AUUGAACGCUGGCGGAAUGCUUUACACAUGCAAGUCGAACGGCAGCACGGACUUCGGUCUGGUGGCGAGUGGCGAACGGGUGAGUAAUACAUCGGAACGUGCCCAGUCGUGGGGGAUAACGUAGCGAAAGCUACGCUAAUACCGCAUACGAUCGAAGGAUGAAAGCGGGGGACCGUAAGGCCUCGCGCGAGUGGAGCGUCCGGUGGCAGAUUAGGUAGGUGGUGGGGUGAAGGCUCACCAAGCCGACGAUCUGUAGCUGGUCUGAGAGGACGACCAGCCACACUGGGACUGAGACACGGCCCAGACUCCUACGGGAGGCAGCAGUGGGGAAUUUUGGACAAUGGGCGCAAGCCUGAUCCAGCCAUUCCGCGUGCAGGAUGAAGGCCCUCGGGUUGUAAACUGCUUUUGUACGGAACGAAAAGGCUCUGGUUAAUACCUGGGGCUCAUGACGGUACCGUAAGAAUAAGCACCGGCUAACUACGUGCCAGCCGCCGCGGUAA
rnacentral:rRNA from 1 species